rnacentral:rRNA from 1 species
CCUACGGGCGGCUGCAGUGGGGAAUAUUGCACAAUGGGCGCAAGCCUGAUGCAGCCAUGCCGCGUGUGUGAAGAAGGCCUUCGGGUUGUAAAGCACUUUCAGCGGGGAGGAAGGCGGUGAGGUUAAUAACCUCAUCGAUUGACGUUACCCGCAGAAGAAGCACCGGCUAACUCCGUGCCAGCAGCCGCGGUAAUACGGAGGGUGCAAGCGUUAAUCGGAAUUACUGGGCGUAAAGCGCACGCAGGCGGUCUGUCAAGUCGGAUGUGAAAUCCCCGGGCUCAACCUGGGAACUGCAUUCGAAACUGGCAGGCUAGAGUCUUGUAGAGGGGGGUAGAAUUCCAGGUGUAGCGGUGAAAUGCGUAGAGAUCUGGAGGAAUACCGGUGGCGAAGGCGGCCCCCUGGACAAAAACGGACGCUCAGGUGCGAAAGCGUGGGGAGCAAACAGGAUGAAUACCCGUGUAGUC